AGGGGAAGACUCACAUAGAGGCAGCAGUAGAGAAUCUUGUGCAAUAAACGAAAGUAUGACACAGAGAGGACACAUUUAAUUGAGCCCGUCAAAUUAAGUGCCAGCCGACGCGGUUAAACUUAAGGGCUGGUCUUUAUAAGUAAAAAGGCGUAAAGGAUGUGUAGGCCAAGAAACGACCCAAGAAGGUAAAUGGAAUUUUUCUGGAGCGGUAGAAUGUGAGGAUAGAAAAUAGAACCCCUAAGGUUAAAACUAUUUACCACAAGGUAGGCUGAAACAUGAGUGUGUGGGGAGCAAACAGGAUUAGAGACCCUGGUAGUCCACACUGUGAACUUUGAAGAUGAUGCUUAGCAGACCCGAAAGGUAAAAUCUUCCGCCUGAGUAGUACGAUCGCAAGAUUAAAAUUCAAAAACUUUGGCUGUUCACUAUUUCGAUUAGAGGAGCGUGUAGUUUAAUUCGAUGGUCCGCGUGUUACCUUACCCCAACUUGAAUCUGUGACCGGUAUUGCAUGGCCGUCGUAAGUUCGUGUAUUAAGCUAGAAGGGACCCAACCCGGGCAUUUGCCCGGAGGAAGUCAGGUCUUAUGAUCCGAAUGUUGGGGGAUUUUAUGCGCUACAUUUUCUUAUAUAAUGGGAGACCUGGAAGGUGAGCCUCUAAAGUAAGAGUUCGGAAGGUCGCUGUAAGACGACUGGAAGUUGGAUUUAAUAGUAAUCGGAAAGUAGGGCGUUCCGGUGAAUUGGUACAAGUGUUAGCACAAAUUGCCCGUCGCCUUUACCUAGAAUGGUUAUUCGGACGCCUUCGGUGGUUACGAAUGCCUACGAGGGA
rnacentral:rRNA from 1 species